rnacentral:rRNA from 1 species
CAGCCGUAAACUAUGCGCGUUAGGUGUAUCGGUGACCACGAGUUACCGAGGUGCCGAAGGGAAACCGUGAAACGUGCCGCCUGGGAAGUACGGUCGCAAGGCUGAAACUUAAAGGAAUUGGCGGGGGAGCACCACAACAGGUGGAGCCUGCGGUUUAAUUGGACUCAACGCCGGGAAGCUCACCGGAUAGGACAGCAGAAUGAUUGCCGGGCUGAAGACCCUGCAUGACUAGCUGAGAGGUGGGUGCAUGGCGUCAGUGACU